rnacentral:lncRNA from 1 species
AUCUCAAUGUUGCAGUUGUGGCCUUCCUCGUCCAUCAGAGGUGAUCAACCAUCUAAACACUAACCUUCCCUCAUCUUAUUUCAGAUCGUAACUCUGUUUUAAUUCAAUCAUACUUUGUUUUUCUUGGUACAGGGGACUCUUGGUGGGCAACUUCUUCUUCACCAUGGUUCUCCAGCAACUGCACAAGUAGGUCGACUCUCUUGGAUUGGUGCCCCGUGGAAUUCAGAUUGUAGGUGAUGUAUGGCGCUGCACAAGAGAGGACAUGUCUAUUGGAAACAACUAAAUUUCUCCGUGCCAUGCUACUGCGUGAACUACCGAAUCCAUAAGCAACUCUACACACAAGAGUUCAGGGUUGAAUAGAGUUGUUCCCUCCACAUGGUUGGAAAUUAAGGUUUUGUGUAUACAAAGUUUCAAUAUUGUUGGCUUGUCAUAUUAUUCGGUGGUCACCUACCCAAGCAACAAGCACGGAUUGUGGAAGAAGCGAAAAAUAUACUAGAGAUUAUAUGUGUUUGAAAUCAAAUGCUAGCCCUAGAAAUAUUAGUCGAACAAGUCGUUCAAAUCGUUGUUUUAGUAAUGUAUAUAAGUCAAUAUGACUUUGGUAAUGAAGUUGAUCAAAUUUCUUCUUUUUAUUUACCUUUUUUUUCUCUGAACCAUUUUUAUCCUUUUCUUCCUGAAUCACAUAACUAACGUAGUUUAACUAUCAGGUCUUCAGUAUAAACGGACAAAGGAAGAAAUGUUCUUCAAGUCUCAAGCGUUGUUGGGUUCUGACGGUGAGAAUAUCUUUUACAGUGAGGUAAGGACAUAACUAGACAUGUACAACAAGUUUGCAAUCGUUAUCAGUGUUCUGCCCUCAUGGUGCCUUAAGUUGCUUCCAUUAUCUUUCUAUGAAUCUUUCAAAAUCUAGCUUUGGUACUGAUGCUUUUGAAUGCUCACUUGUAUUUACUUAACUAAAAGCUACCAAUUGUGAUACGUAAUUUCCAAGUUUUUUUUCGUAUGUACCAGCUUUUGGCUAUCCUGGGUGGUGGGAAUGGCGCUAGAGAGUUCUCAGUUUAAUGCCGUGUAUUAUGACAGCAAGAUGGUAUAGCUGCAGUAAGUUACCUCUGCCUCUUUUUUAUAUUAAACUUUGGAGGUCAUAAGAAGCUUUCUUUCUUGUUCGAUGACACCAUGUACUUUGUGUAAUGGUUGCAAUAUUCAUGAACCAAGCUGAUACGAACCAAAUACCUUUGCAAAUCAAUUGUUGACAUGAACUUUGGGAUUUUUCACUUAAUAUGUUGAAAUGCCUAUGAAUAUUGUUGAGAUGAACCUCUAAGAGGCAUAUACACUUGUGGUAUAAAAACUCCUGCCCGUACAUGCUGCUUACCAAUUUAAAUUUUGAUCAUCUUACAAAUCCAACACUUCCAUAAAUUAAUUAUUGGUAGGGUGGGAAUUUACUAUGACUCAGUUAGCAAAGCGGGUCUCACCUGCAGAGGAUAUGAUAAAAUAUUCCAGAGCCCGAGGAAGAGAAAUAAACCAAUAUGGUUAUUUCUAUGAUGAAAGGUAUGAGAAGUCAGCUUUAUUUAAAUAUGAAACAAAUGUAAAUUAUUCAGAAAUUGUAUCAUGAGAAGCCCUCACUUAAACUGAAUGAAAAGUUGCUGGUUUUUAGCCAAAUGUUGGAAUGUGGCCAAACUAUGUGAUUUCUUUAUGCUUGGAGGCAAUCAUAAUGACAUAGACUUACUUUCACCAUUUUUAGUUUACCUUUACGUUUAAUAUGCCCUGUUAUGAAAAUGCUACUGAAAGUAGAAUAUGACAUCAGGUUAAUGUACAUUUUUUUCCUUCAUUUCCUUUAGUUACUAAAUUUGUCUUGGGUCAUCUUUAGGCAAUCAUUUCUUUUAUCAUACAUAUCAAAAGUCCCCAAGUUGCUACUCCAGAUAUUUAUUCAAAUUCGGGGCAUUUGGUUUCAGAGUACUGCUUGCUUGGACAAUGAUGUAGUUUAUGAUGGACUUUGGAUAGCAACUUCCGUUCCAAAAUUCUGGAG